GAUUAACAAUCAAGAAAAAUGAAUCUCAUAUCCGACGGGUGCCGUCUGUGUUUGGAUCCUUUUGCGGAGAGUUUCACCACUAUCGACAGCCCGGAGCUGAAGGACCAGAUGGAAAAAGUUUUCUGCUUUUUGAUUGAACCCAAACAAGGAUACUGCUCCGGUGUGUGUCAGAGCUGUUCAUAUGCCAUCUCCGAGUUCUACCAGUAUUCGGAAAAA